rnacentral:rRNA from 1 species
GAUGAACGCUGGCGGCGUGCCUAAUACAUGCAAGUCGAGCGAACAGAUCAGGAGCUUGCUCCUCUGACGUUAGCGGCGGACGGGUGAGUAACACGUGGAUAACCUACCUAUAAGACUGGGAUAACUUCGGGAAACCGGAGCUAAUACCGGAUAAUAUAUUGAACCGCAUGGUUCAAUAGUGAAAGACGGUUUUGCUGUCACUUAUAGAUGGUUCCGGGCCGCAUUAGCUGGUUGGUAGGGUAACGGCUUACCAAGGCAACGAUGCGUAGCCGACCUGGUAGGGGAGUGGGCACCACAGCAAUGGGACCGGGAUCCGGCCCCGAACGGGAGGCGAGGGAGGGGAGGGGACCGCAGUGGACGAAGGCGUAGCGGGGCGACGCGACGUGGGGGAGGAGGGUCUGGGCUUCGUAAACUCUGUUAUUAGGGAAGAACAAAUGUGUAAGUAACUAUGCACGUCUUGACGGUACCUAAUCAGAAAGCCACGGCUAACUACGUG